rnacentral:rRNA from 1 species
CGCCUGUUUAUCAAAAACAUCGCCUCUUGAAAUUAAUAAGAGGUCCAGCCUGCCCAGUGACCACAGUUCAACGGCCGCGGUAUCCUAACCGUGCGAAGGUAGCGUAAUCACUUGUUCUUUAAAUGGGGACUAGUAUGAAUGGCAUCACGAGGGUUAUACUGUCUCCUUUUUCUAAUCAGUGAAACUAAUCUCCCCGUGAAGAAGCGGGGAUAAGACCAUAAGACGAGAAGACCCUAUGGAGCUUUAAAUUUCUCUUCAAACGCCGGCUAAUUUAGUAAGUCAUAGACCCCUUCCCCCUUAACCCUAGCGCCAUGAAGACGACUUUUAGGUUGGGGUGACCGCGGAGUACAAAAAAACCUCCACAUUGAACUAGGCUCCCAAGCCCUGAGCAAAGGGCCACAACCCCAUGCACUAAAAAACUAACAUCCAUUGACCCAAUACCUUUUGAUCAACGAACCAAGUUACCCUAGGGAUAACAGCGCAAUCCACUUCAAGAGUCCAUAUCGACAAGUGGGUUUACGACCUCGAUGUUGGAUCAGGGUAUCCCAGUGGUGCAGCCGCUACUAAUGGUUCGUUUGUUCAACGAUUAAAACCCU